GGCUAGAGGAAAAAAACAGAGGACCAAGAAAGAGAUGGCCAUCAAAAAGUGCUGGCUGGCUCAAGUUCUGAAUGAAUCAUCUGCGGUGAGUCAUCACAUGGGUAUUACUCCGUGGGCCUGUUAUUCACUUGGGCAAAUCCUCAAGCACAUCCAUAAAAAACAUAAUAAAUGUUCAGGCAAAUACAUUUAGGCUUGUCACCUGGAAGUCACUAGUAACAAUUAGAAAAGAAAACAAACCUGUAGCAAGUACCACCAGCACCACUUACUGAGCAUUUCUUAUGUGUCAGGCAUAGAGAAAAGUCAAUUAUUUCAUUUAAUCCUCGUUCCAACCCAAUGAUGUGGCACUAUUUUCCUAUUUUACAGUGGAACGCAGACUUGCAAAGAUGCCACAGCUGUCCUGAAGUCACACUGAAAUUAUGGACAGAGCAGGAGUUCUGUCUGAUUUCUGAAAGUCCUAUUCUCAAUCACUGUGCUAAAUGAACCUAAGUUAAGGUUCUAUGCUUGUUUUCUUUUUUUACUACUUGUCCAAUCAGGAUAGCUUAUUUUGAUGAAAUUUUGUGAGAGGAAAAACAAAAAGAAACCUAUUUUAUUUGGCGGAAUGUUUUUUAAUUGGGGAUGGGAGUGGUCUCAGCCUUUUAAAAAUGAAAGAAUGAGGUGAGGGCAGGAGAAGGGCCCCAGACUGGAGGUACAAAGCAAGGUCGGGGACCCUGACAGCUGCAGAGUGAGUGGCAUCUCUGCAGUCUAUGAGCCUACAGGUAGAGAAGAUGCGAUUUAGGGUAGGAGAGGUUGUUUUUAUUUUUUUUUUAAACGGUCUUUCUUGGACAGGGACAUACUGGGGAUACAAGCGCCCUUUUAAUCCAGAAAAAUGAGGGGCUGAAGGAAAUAAAAAAAUACUAAACAGGACAAUUGGUGCAAUGGAUACAGGACAUUUGCAGGUAAGUGAAACUCCGAAAACUGGCAAUCAAAUGGAAACAGAAAUUCAGGUGACUGGUAAGUGACUGUAUUUUCAAAUAAGACUGACAUUUGGUGAUGUCCCUGGAAAACUCUGGUGUCUGAGAUUAGAAAGGAUUUUGUCCAUACUGAUGGCACACACAUAAUUAGGGACAGUGGCUUACUCCCCCGAGGAGACUGGAGUUGAGAGCAGUUGAGGGGCUCUUCAGGAUCACACAGUGGUGGCCAUGCCUGGACCAGAGUCAGGAAGUAACUAACCUUGUUCCCUGUCCACAGCUUUCCUCCCAGGCAGUGUUGCCAGGUAAAGGUAAGAGAAAGCUUUACCUCGAAC